rnacentral:rRNA from 1 species
UUUGUAAUCUGGCGUCCUUCGGGCGUCCGAGUUGUAAUCUAUAGAAGUGUUUUCCGUGCCGGACCAUGUCCAAGUCCCUUGGAACAGGGUAUCAAAGAGGGUGACAAUCCCGUACUUGACAUGACCACCGGUGCUCUGUGAUACACUUUCUACGAGUCGAGUUGUUUGGGAAUGCAGCUCAAAAUGGGUGGUAAAUUCCAUCUAAAGCUAAAUAUUGGCGAGAGACCGAUAGCGAACAAGUACCGUGAGGGAAAGAUGAAAAGCACUUUGGAAAGAGAGUUAAACAGUACGUGAAAUUGUUGAAAGGGAAACGAUUGAAGUCAGUCGUGUUCUUUGGACUCAGCCGGUUCUUCCGGUCUAUUUCCUUUGAACGGGUCAACAUCAGUUUUGUCCGGUGGAUAAAGGCAGGAAGAAAGUGGCUCCCUCGGGAGUGUUAUAGCUUUCUGUCACAUACACUGGAGGAGACUGAGGACUGCAGCUCGCCUUUUGGCCGGGGUUCGCCCACGUUCGAGCUUAGGAUGUUGACAUAAUGGCUUUAAACGACCC